rnacentral:rRNA from 1 species
UAACGUCGAGAAAUCGGCGCUAAUACCUCAUAAUGCAGCGGAUCCGCAUGGAUAUGUUGUUAAAGGUUUACCGCCUUGGGAUAGGCUUGCGUCUGAUUAGCUAGUUGGUGUGGUAAUGGCACACCAAGGCUACGAUCAGUAACUGGUCUGAGAGGAUGAUCAGUCACACUGGAACUGAGACACGGUCCAGACUCCUACGGGAGGCAGCAGUGAGGAAUAUUGGGCAAUGCACGAAAGUGUGACCCAGCAACGCCGCGUGGAGGAUGAAGGUAUUCUAUAUCGUAAACUCCUGUGAGAGCAGACGAAAGACAGAUUAUUAAUUUGGAUGACUGUAUGCUCAGAGGAAGCCCCGGCUAACUACGUG